CCACUUCCAGCCCUUUGCCUAAGAUUAGCCUAUGGGAAGCAUGGCCUCUGUGUGAAUUGGUGGUGGAUUCAAAGCACAGCAUCUGGGGUCCUGUGUCAAUUACGCUCUCCUCAACAGAAGAUCUGAGUGGUGGUGCAUCUUCAUGGCUGCUGGCAGGCCCCGCUGUGUAAUUACGUCUGGAAUUGGUGGGUUCUUGGUCUCACCGACUUCAAGAAUGAAGCCGUGGAUCCUCGUGGUGAGUGUUACAGCUCUUAAGGUGACGCACCUGGAGUUUGUUCCUUCUGAUGUUCAGAUGUGUUUGGAGUUUCUUCCUUCUGGUGGGUUCGUGGUCUCGUUGGCUCAGGAGUGAAGUUGCAGACCUUGGCGGUGAGUGUUAGAGCUCUUAAGGUAGUGCAUCUGGAGUUGUUCAUUCCUCCCGGUGGGCUUGUGGGCUCUCUAGCUUCAGGAGUGAAGCUGCAGAUCUUCGCAGUGAGUGUUACAGCUCAUGAAAGCAGUGUGGAGUCAAAGAGUGAGCAGUAGCAAGAUUUAUUGCAAAGAGCGAAAGAACAAAGCUUCCACAGGGUGGAAGGG
rnacentral:lncRNA from 1 species